GACGAAGGGGGCAAGCGUUGUUCGGAAUUACUGGGCGUAAAGGGCGCGUAGGCGGCUCUGUAAGUCAGGCGUGAAAGCCCUGGGCUCAACCUGGGAGUGGCGCUUGAUACUGUGGGGCUAGAGAGCGGGAGAGGAUGGUGGAAUUCCCAGUGUAGAGGUGAAAUUCGCAGAUAUCGGGAAGAACACCCGUGGCGAAGGCGGCUCUCUGGGACGGUACUGACGCUGAGACGCGAAAGCGUGGGGAGCGAACAGG
rnacentral:rRNA from 1 species